CUWACAMMAUUGCAAGUUCGAACGGUAACAGGAARCAAGCUUGCUKYUUYGCUGACGAGUGGCGGACGGGYGARWAAUGUCUGGGAAACUGCCUGAUGGAGGGGGAUAACUACUGGAAACGGUAGCUAAUACCGCAUAACGUCGCAAGACCAAAGAGGGGGACCUUCGGGCCUCUUGCCAUCGGAUGUGCCCAGAUGGGAUUAGCUWGUWGGUGGGGUAACGGCUCACCUAGGCGACGAUCCCUAGCUGGUCUGAGAGGAUGACCAGCCACACUGGAACUGAGACACGGUCCAGACUCCUACGGGAGGCAGCAGUGGGGAAUAUUGCACAAUGGGCGCAAGCCUGAUGCAGCCAUGCCGCGUGUAUGAAGAAGGCCUUCGGGUUGUAAAGUACUUUCAGCGGGGAGGAAGGGAGUAAAGUUAAUACCUUUGCUCAUUGACGUUACCCGCARAAGAAGCACCGGCUAACUCCGUGCCAGCAGCCGCGGUAAUACGGAGGGUGCAAGCGUUAAUCGGAAUUACUGGGCGUAAAGCGCACGCAGGCGGUUUGUUAAGUCAGAUGUGAAAUCCCCGGGCUCAACCUGGGAACUGCAUCUGAUACUGGCAAGCUUGAGUCUCGUAGAGGGGGGUAGAAUUCCAGGUGUAGCGGUGAAAUGCGUASAGAUCUGGAGGAAUACCGGUGGCGAAGGCGGCCCCCUGGACGAAGACUGACGCUCAUGUGCGAAAGCGUGGGGAGCAAACAGGAUUAKAUACCCCUGGUARUCCACGCCGUAAACRAUGUCAACUUGGAGGUUGUGCCCUUGAGGCGUGGCUUCCGGAGCCUACCGCGUUAAKUCACCCGCCUGGSGARUACGGCCGCAWGGWUAAAACUCA
rnacentral:rRNA from 1 species